AGCCCGUGAAGAGGCGCGCCCGGGGCCCAGGUAAGCGCUGCCCGCCGGGCCCGCUGCCGCCCGGGAGGGGCUGCUCGUGGUGGUGAUUUUGUGAGCUAGCCCGGGACCCACUGCUGCAGUCUUUCGGGGGCUGUUUAAGCCACAGCUUUGCGUCUGGAUUUUAUUUAGGUUUUAUUUGGUUUAUUUAUUUUGCUCAUCCCACAUCUCCAGCUGUGGGAUGAGCAGAGGGCGCGGUCCCUUACAGCCAUUUUGUGAAGCAGUUUAGGUGUCAGUAUCGCUAACAUCGGAGCAAGUAAAGUUUAAAAAAAUGAGCCUGAUUGGAAAAGGUUUAAGUAAGGUGGGCUAGGACAGCAGAGUCCCAGUAUAUAUUGGCAACUGAGCACACCACCAUAAACGCGAUGGAGAGAAAAUUCAAUAAAAAGGAAGUGUUGUGUUUUGGGUUGGCUCAGGACUGCAGUAAAGUCUGAACAGGAAGCAAAGCCUCACCUUCGCAUGGUCCCUGGUUGCUUUGCUGUGUGCUGCUAAUGAGUGAUAUUGGUUACUGGCAGCAAACAGAGGUGGGCAGUAAAAAGAUCCAACUCAGUUGGAAGACAGGAGCAGGGAAUUGCCUUCCUGGCUGAGUGAUUAGGCUCUGCAGUCUACUUUAGGAGGGCUCAGUCAGUUCUGAAACUUUUCAGGAGAUUAUUGCAGAGAUUCAUCCGGAGGACUAAGAAAGUGGAGCCAGUGGCACUAUAUUGACUCCAUUGAUACUAUCCUCCUAAAUUAAAUGGUAGAAGAACAAGGCCUGCCUGUGAGAUAAAAGUCAGGACCUACUUGAUCUACCUACAAUGUUUUAGUGGCAGUGAUAGAGCAAGUUAAAAGUCAUGUGUUUCUGUAGUAAAAGGCCCUUUGUUCCCGGCUCCAGCACUGGGUGAGGAGGGACACUGGACAUGCCUUCGAUUACGGUAACAGAGGAUGGAUUUUGCUGUGUGCCAGUAAAUUCCCAUAAGGAAAAGGAACAGGAAGAAAAAGACCCAGCAGGUACUAGGAAAAAUGCAGCUUGCAGCACAUAAUGUUAGAGACAAGGACAACUCUUUUUUAAUUGACUACUGCCCUGCCACAUGUUGUAGUUCAGCCAGAGUUCCUGUAUACAGGCCAGAUGUAAGAACUGA
rnacentral:lncRNA from 1 species